rnacentral:rRNA from 1 species
UGCGUAGGCGGCUAUGUAAGUCAGGAGUGAAAGUUUGCGGCUCAACCGUAAAAUUGCUUUUGAUACUGCAUGGCUGGAAUCAGGAUGAGGUCAGCGGAAUGUGGCAUGUAGCGGUGAAAUGCAUAGAUAUGCCAUAGAACACCAAUUGCGAAGGCAGCUGGCUAGACCUGUAUUGACGCUGAGGCACGAAAGCGUGGGGAGCGAACAGGAUUAGAUACCCUGGUAGUCCACGCCCUAAACGAUGCUUACUCGACGUAUGGCACUAGUUGUUGUGCGUCCAAGGGAAACCGUUAAGUAAGCCACCUGGGGAGUACGACCGCAAGGUUGAA